GCUCUUGAUGUGGCACUUAUGUUUUUGGUCAAGCCAGAAGACAUUUGGAAGAAAGACUAGUAAAUACAGACAAGGCAUAUUCAGAAACCAAGCAUGGCGCAGACAGUGGCUGGAUGGGAAUGCGAUCUCAGCUACCUUUCCUUUGGACACCACAGCUAACAACUUGAUUUCUCUGUCCCUUGGUUUCUCCAUCUAUAACAAAGGGGGCUGGUGAGCAGGUGCUCAGGGAGGCCAUCUGCCAUGGUUACAGAGAAAGAUCCCACAAUGGAAACCACCCACAGUAAACCCAAGCAUGGUGCUUGCUGCAGCUGCUGCUAAGUCACUUCAGUCGUGUCUGACUCUGUGUGACCCCAUAGACGGCAGCCCAACAGGCUCCUCCAUCCCUGGGAUUCUCCAAGCAAGAACACUGGAGUGGGUUGCCAUUUCCUUCUCCAAUGCAUGAAAGUGAAAAGUGAAAGUGAAGUCGUGUCUGACUUUUCGCGAUCCCAUGGACUGCAGUCUACCAGGCUCCUCCGUCCAUGGGAUUUUCCAGGCAAGAGUACUGGAGUGGGGUGCCAUCUCUUAGCACAGUAUAAAUUC
ensembl:lncRNA